GUUUUUUCACAUAUAAUCGGCGAUUCCUUUAUUGUUACGAUUCCAAGUGUAAAUCAGAUUUAUAUGUCAUGCCAAUUUUUUGGGGAAAAGUAAUCGAAACCUUGCUGAGUGCGACAUUUAUCAUCAGGUAUGAAACUUCUAUUUAUUUAUGGCUGACCUCCAUAUCUCUCUACCUAUUGACUUGGAUCUGCAUAUUCAAUCAAGAAUCUUUAAAAACAUCUAAGAUCAUUAGACAUAUAGAGAAGGUUUAAAUUUUUUCAUGAAUAAACCUAAAUGUUAUGCCACUGCCGGACUAUCAAUCUUCGUCGAACAUGUUACAGAUAUGGAUCAGAGUAACAACAAUCCUUCAUUUUAAAGCUGAUUGAGAAAUACCUAAUGACUUUGCUUCAAUGAUGUGGGGAGAGCAACCACCUUAAAAAUAAUCUGUUAAGAUUGUUGAUGGCAACAAGUUAUGGUUUGUAAGAC